rnacentral:rRNA from 1 species
UUUAGAGGAAGUAAAAGUCGUAACAAGGUUUCCGUAGGUGAACCUGCGGAAGGAUCAUUAAUGAGAUCAUGCCCCUCGGGGUAGACCUCCCACCCUUUGUUUACAAUACCAUUGUUGCUUUGGCGGCCCCGUCGCAAGACAACCGGCUCCGGCUGGUCAGCGGCCGCCAGAGGACUCCAAAACUCAUAUUGUCAUUGUCGUCUGAGUACUAUACAAUAGUUAAAACUUUCAACAACGGAUCUCUUGGUUCUGGCAUCGAUGAAGAACGCAGCGAAAUGCGAUAAGUAAUGUGAAUUGCAGAAUUCAGUGAAUCAUCGAAUCUUUGAACGCACAUUGCGCCCCCUGGUAUUCCGGGGGGCAUGCCUGUUCGAGCGUCAUUACAACCCUCAAGCUCUGCUUGGUAUUGGGCGCCACCCCCGGGUGCGCCUUAAAAUCAGUGGCGGUGCCGUCUGGCUUCAAGCGUAGUAAUACUUCUCGCUUUGGAGUCCGGGCGAGCGUCCUGCCAAAACCCCCAU